rnacentral:lncRNA from 1 species
GAUGUCAAUAUAUAAAGAAAGGGAGAGAAAGAGGGCUCUGCAAUCAAUGAUAUGGAGGUAUCUUUAGCUUAAAUAUUUUGGAGGCAGGGGUUGUUAAAAAAAAAAAGAAUGGAAGAGGGUAUAUGGAAAUAAUUUAAGUUUCUUGGUGUGGACACUCAUGGGGACAAAUUGUUAAUGGUUUUUUGAAUUGUUUGAGGUUUUCUUGGCUUCAUUUAUGUCCAAGUGGGAUACUGGGAUUCUACUUAAAUUUCUGAGUUGGGUGGAGUCUGAUUCAUUAGAAAGAAAAUUUAUGGAGGUACGAUACUAAUUGUUUGUGUGGAUUUAGAUGGUCAUAGAUCACUGUAAGUAUAGUCCUAUCAUUGUUUCUUGAUUUUAUACAGGUAGCAUCCAUAUCAAUUUGAUCCUUAUUAUUUCUUGGUUGGAUCUGAAUAUGUUACUUUGAACAAAUGGUUAGACCUACUGAAAUCACUAAUGUAUCGAUUUCCAAAAAAUAGAUAUAUGAGGAUAUAUUGGAAUCUAUCCGUGGAUAUUUUACAUCGAAUAUUGAAUGUAUCAAUGAAUGUAUCGAUUUGUUUUACAAAAUAUAUAUAAAAUCAAAUUUGGAAGUAUAUUAUCAUAGUAUUUACCUAAAAAACAUCAUAUCUACUAAAAGUAGAAUAAACAAAUUAUUUUUAAAAAAUAAAUUUGCAAAAAAAUAAUAUUUUUCGAAAAUAUCGGAAAUAUCAGAAAAAUAUCAGAAAUAUCGGCCGAUACUUUACAUAAACACCAAGGGGUAAAUGUCGGGAAUGUAUAGUAUCGUUUUCCUAAAAAACCGAUAUAUAUUGCGAUAUAUCGGGAUAUAUCGCGAUAUUUUGUACUAUGACUGAAAUGAAUUAGGUAUGUCACUUUUGAACUGUUUUGAUAAGAAUGCAGUUCCUCGAGCCUUUGAGUUUGCGAGUUCAUGAAUAAUUUUAUGUUUGUUCACUUAUAAUGGAAAACAUUAUUAAAAUAGGUAUGGUUUUCUAUUUGGUUUGAAUUUACUUUGCGCUGUUUUUUGGGCAUUCAUCUAAUGUUGAGCGUUGGAGUGUCUUUGCAUGGAGGAACAAGUUCUUCCUCGUUAUAUAUGUUGCUUUUCAAAAACGUGUUUUGAAGCGGAAAUCUCGAGUUAAAGAAUGGACUCAUCGUUGGUGGAAUUGCACAAUUAUAUAUGAAAUGAUGGAUCACUUUCAGAUGUUGUGGUAUUGAUCUAUUAAGAAUCGAUAUAUUUCGAUAUCAUUCUUAUAUAUAUUGAAAUUAUUCACUUAUGGAAUCUGGAAGAUUGAUAUAAAUUGUGCCUUUCAUAUUCAUGCCUCAAAAUGAGUUAUAUGAUUUUCGAGGCGUUACAUAAAUAAAAUAAAUUAGUUUAAUUAAUAAUCAUCCAAAUAUGAAAAGUGAAUCAAUUUGGGACAUCCAAAAAAGGAAUUCAGGACAACCAAUUUGGGACGGAGGGAGUAUUAUUUAGUGUGUGCAUAUAGGCUAUCGAAGAGAAGUUAAGUGUCAGGGAUUGGUCAGCAACUGGUUCUCUGGUUAUUAUUCGACACCUUUUUCUUGGCUUUGUACUUGGGUUUAAUACCAUACACCUGGUUGUAUUGGUUGCAAGCUUCAUUUUAUUCUUGAUCGAGUUAUUUCUUCCUGUUGUGGACAAGUGACGUGAGCCUUAAGGAACCAAAGAGGAAUUGUUACAGUGUAGCAAAUGAACCUUUAGGGGUGGGCACGGUUCGGUUCGGUUCCAUUUUCCCACUAAAUUGAAACCGAACCGUGCAAGCUGGUUCGGUUCUGUUCGGUUUCAAAAACCGAAAAUUAUUAUUAAAACUGGGUUGGACCGAACCGAUUUGAUUCGGUUCGGUUUUCGGUUUGGGCUUUAUUAUGGGCUUUUGUGUUUUGG